rnacentral:sRNA from 1 species
AUCUGAAGUCUGACGAGGAUGAGAACCUCCGGGGGCAAGAGGUUCGACUCGAGCGAAGCGAGAGAACGUUGCGCCAGCAACGGCCCGCAGGGCGAGCCACGCAGUGGCGAGUCAUCCUCUAUCACCGGCA